rnacentral:telomerase_RNA from 1 species
ACGCGCGACGCCUCCCCCACAGUCCGUUCUUCGUUUCUCGAAAGAGAUGUCUAUUGCAGACCGCUCGUCUUUUUCUGGUUACCCUUCCAUGUGUCGCUCUCGAGCCUGUAACAGGACCUCGUGAAGGCCGCAGCUGGAUCAUGGCGGGUAACGCGUCCUGUUUAGGAUGUACCAGGCAGAUGGGUGAACAACGUUCGGAACUUAACCCUAAGCUUCAUAUCUGGUCAUAAAGUUUUGCGUUGUUGUCGCUCAAAUCGUCUUUUAUGCCGUAUGAGCGCCCGACUGUUGUGCCCGCUGAAAAGUGGGAGGUUCGACUGAAGGCGCUGGUUACGACGGACAGGCGAGAAGGGCACUCCAGUCACCUAUUGGUGCGCGAGAGGAUUGGUGCCAUAGGUAGUGUAAGAUCCUCUGAAGGACACCUGUCAGCCCUUUCCGCUGGAACCAGCACAUCGGUCAACAGUAGACCGUCCAGGCGAUGCGAUCAGCCUUGAGUCGUUGGAGAUGGAACUAGCCUGGCCACUUGGUCAAACUGCUGGCUUGCCCAUGGCGCGCAGCUGAGGAGUGGAGCUUCAUAUUGGCCACAAACAGUCAGUCUAAGAACUUCAUACGACUCCCGAGUCAUCGUCUGUCGGAACCGCCAGCUAGGAUAAUUCCAGCUGGUGCAGCAGACAACUUGUGGAAACAUACAGAAGUUCUUUGACCGAUACCUAUCGCCAGUCUGACAGCCCCCGGUCCUCCGAAGCUGUUCAUGCUAUUGUGCAUUACCACACUACUUCCCAUCCACCCACCUCCUUGGUCAUUCGCUCACUGAACCACACCACAGCACUUGCUCCUGGUGUGUGACGCUCCGCGUCUGGUCUGACCCAGCGCAUUAACCUCCAGCCAUGGGUCACAAUCCCUUGGUCAUGAUGGACGCCAGCACGCCUGCAAGGGCCAAUAGGUCUUAGCAGGUCCCUCAGACCAGCCGCAAGGUUGGGCUUGAGAUGAAAGGGUGGUUUUUACGGAUGUAUUUUGUCCACCCAUUAACGCCCUCCAUACCUCUCGCUGGCGAGAAGUCUGGAGAGGACUCAAAAACUUGUCCUAGGGGGCAGCGCGAAUCAUACAGAAGGAGUUCCCUUGUCAGCGUCAGUGUGUUUCCGGACUGCGUUCUGCUAUGAUGGCCUUUCGGUAGAAUCGUGUCAGCGAAGGUAUUGGAUCAUUAGAACUGUGAGCUCACGAAACAGUCUCUACCUUUGCAAUCCUCACUGCUGCGAGACGAUGCUCGUAGUUGACGUUGGAAGCAGUGCCAGGACCCAUCUCGAGUUGGAGUCAAAGUUUCGUGCUUGUCUGGCACUGUGAACGACCAUUCUAUAGAGCUGAAGAUUGCGCCUUUGAGUAGCAAUGGUGAGGCUGAGUUGUAUUGUUGGAUCUUGGACAGGCCUUGUUGGGUGAGGUAGUCCUGGCUGUCCUCUCGCCCGAAAAUGGUGUGGAGGACAGCCCCCC